AUUGAACGCUGGCGGCAGGCCUAACACAUGCAAGUCGAACGGUAACAGGAAGAAGCUUGCUUCUUUGCUGACGAGUGGCGGACGGGUGAGUAAUGUCUGGGAAACUGCCUGAUGGAGGGGGAUAACUACUGGAAACGGUAGCUAAUACCGCAUAAUGUCGCAAGACCAAAGAGGGGGACCUUCGGGCCUCUUGCCAUCGGAUGUGCCCAGAUGGGAUUAGCAAGUAGGUGGGUAACGGCUCACCUCGGCGACGAUCCCUAGCUGGUCUGAGAGGAUGACCAGCCACACUGGAACUGAGACACGGUCCAGACUCCUACGGGAGGCAGCAGUGGGGAAUAUUGCACAAUGGGCGCAAGCCUGAUGCAGCUAUGCCGCGUGUAUGAAGAAGGCCUUCGGGUUGUAAAGUACUUUCAGCGGGGAGGAAGGGAGUAAAGUUAAUACCUUGGCUCAUUGACGUUACCCGAAGAAGAAGCACCGGCUAACUCCGUG
rnacentral:rRNA from 1 species